GAUGGUCCCUCAGAGGAAAACCAGAGAUGGAUUCGAAGAACAUUUCGGCCUGAACUACCUGGGGCACUUCCUGCUGACCAACCUUCUCCUGGAUACGCUGAGAGAGUCUGGGUCCCCUGGCCACUGUGCGAGGGUGGUCACCGUCUCCUCUGCCACCCAUUACGUUGCUGAGCUGAACAUGGACGACCUUCAGAGCAGAUGGAGUCUCACUCUGUCUCCCAGGCUGGAGUGCAGUGGUGUGAUCUCGGCCCACUGCAACCUCCGCCUCCUGGGUUCAAGCAAUUCUCCUGCCUCAGCCUCCCGAGUAGCUGAGACUACAGGCAUCACCACCAUGUCCGGUUAAUUUUUUAUUUUUAGUAGAGACAUGAUUUCGCCACGUUGGCCAGGUUGGUCUCGAACUCCUGACCUCAGGUAAUCCUCCCGUCUCGGCCUCCCAAAGUGGGUGGAUUACAGGCAUGAGCCACCGUGCCCAGCCGCGAUCUCUGUUUUAAAUAAUGAAGAUAAGCAGAUCACAUCCAGAACAACCCCACCCAACAGAAAUGACAGCUACUUCCUAAACACUUUAGGUGUU
rnacentral:sRNA from 1 species